AUACGGAGGGGGUUAGCGUUGUUCGGAAUUACUGGGCGUAAAGCGCACGUAGGCGGAUUGGAAAGUUGGGGGUGAAAUCCCAGGGCUCAACCCUGGAACUGCCUCCAAAACUAACAGUCUGGAGUUCGAGAGAGGUGAGUGGAAUUCCAAGUGUAGAGGUGAAAUUCGUAGAUAUUUGGAGGAACACCAGUGGCGAAGGCGGCUCACUGGCUCGAUACUGACGCUGAGGUGCGAAAGCGUGGGGAGCAAACAGGAUUAGAAACCCUAGUAGUCC
rnacentral:rRNA from 1 species